UAAUACGAAGGGGGCUAGCGUUGUUCGGAAUUACUGGGCGUAAAGGGCGCGUAGGCGGCUCUGUAAGUCAGGAGUGAAAUCCCUAGGCUCAACCUAGGAAUUGCUUUUGAGACUAUGGAGCUUGAGUACAGGAGAGGUGAGUGGAAUUCCCAGUGUAGAGGUAAAAUUCGUAGAUAUUGGGAGGAACACCAGUGGCGAAGGCGGCUCACUGGCCUGUAACUGACGCUGAGGCGCGAAAGCGUGGGGAGCAAACAGGAUUAGAUACCCUGGUAGUCCACGCUGUAAACGAUGAAUGCUAGUUGUUGGAAGGUUUACCUUUCAGUGACGCCGCUAACGCAUUAAGCAUUCCGCCUGGGGAGUACGGCCGCAAGGUUG
rnacentral:rRNA from 1 species